GGUAAAGAAUCAUGAGAAAAUAGUCCCUUAGACAGAAUGUGUCCUUCCUCCUCUUCUAGUUACUGCAUUCCAUUUACUUGGAGCACUGAAUUAAUUGCAAAGCAUUCAGAAGCACUGCAUCAGACCGAAAAAACUAACCAGAAGUUCUAUCCUCACCAAAACCAGAUGCCAGAUAUUCUGUUUGGUCAAGAUGGCUAACAUCACCUCCCUUAGACAGAAUGUG
rnacentral:misc_RNA from 1 species